UCCGACUUCACUUCUUAUUAGCCU
rnacentral:misc_RNA from 1 species